UGGGGAAUCUUGCACAAUGGGGGAAACCCUGAUGCAGCGACGCCGCGUGAACGAUGAAGCCCUUCGGGGUGUAAAGUUCUUUCGACAGGAACGAUAAUGACGGUACCUGGAGAAGAAGCUGCGGCUAACUACGUGCCAGCAGCCGCGGUAAUACGUAGGCAGCGAGCGUUGUUCGGAGUUACUGGGCGUAAAGAGUGCGUAGGCGGCGAGCCAAGUUUGGUGUGAAAUCUCCCGGCUUAACCGGGAGGGUGCGCCGAAAACUGGUUGGCUGGAGUAUGGGAGAGGAAAGCGGAAUUCCUGGUGUAGCGGUGAAAUGCGUAGAUAUCAGGAGGAACACCUGCGGUGUAGACAGCUUUCUGGACCAAAACUGACGCUGAGGCACGAAAGCGUGGGUAGCAAACA
rnacentral:rRNA from 1 species